rnacentral:rRNA from 1 species
ACUCAAAUGAAUAGACGGGGGCCCGCACAAGCGGAGGAACAUGUGGUUUAAUUCGAUGAUACGCGAGGAACCUUACCCGGGCUUGAAAUGCAAUCGACGGUAGUGGAAACAUUACUUCCAGCAAUGGCGAUUGUGUAGGUGCUGCAUGGUUGUCGUCAGCUCGUGCCGUGAGGUGUCGGCUUAAGUGCCAUAACGAGCGCAACCCUUAUCAUUAGUUGCCAUCGGGUCAUGCCGGGAACUCUAAUGAGACUGCCACCGUAAGGUGUGAGGAAGGUGGGGAUGACGUCAAAUCAGCACGGCCCUUACGUCCGGGGCGACACACGUGUUACAAUGGGGGGUACAGCGGGCAGCUACCUGGCGACAGGAUGCUAAUCUCUGAAAGCCUCUCUCAGUUCGGAUCGGAGUCUGCAACUCGACUCCGUGAAGCUGGAUUCGCUAGUAAUCGCGCAUCAGCCAUGGCGCGGUGAAUACGUUCCCGGGCCUUGUACACACCGCCCGU